GUGGGGAAUAUUGGACAAUGGGCGCAAGCCUGAUCCAGCCAUGCCGCGUGAGUGAUGAAGGCCUUAGGGUUGUAAAGCUCUUUCAGUAGGGAAGAUAAUGACGGUACCUACAGAAGAAGCCCCGGCUAACUUCGUGCCAGCAGCCGCGGUAAUACGAAGGGGGCUAGCGUUGUUCGGAUUUACUGGGCGUAAAGCGCACGUAGGCGGAUUGGUCAGUUAGAGGUGAAAUCCCGAAGCUCAACUUCGGAACUGCCUUUAAUACUGCCAGUCUCGAGUCCGGAAGAGGUGAGUGGAACUCCUAGUGUAGAGGUGGAAUUCGUAGAUAUUAGGAAGAACACCAGUGGCGAAGGCGGCUCACUGGUCCAUUACUGACGCUGAGGUGCGAAAGCGUGGGGAGCAAACAGGAUUAGAAACCCCAGUAGUCC
rnacentral:rRNA from 1 species